AAUGGAGGAAACUCUGAUGCAGCGAUGCCGCGUGAGUGAAGAAGGCCCUUGGGUUGUAAAGCUCUUUCGUCGGGGAAGAAAAUGACUGUACCCGAAUAAGAAGGUCCGGCUAACUUCGUGCCAGCAGCCGCGGUAAUACGAAGGGACCUAGCGUAGUUCGGAAUUACUGGGCUUAAAGAGUUCGUAGGUGGUUGAAAAAGUUGGUGGUGAAAUCCCAGAGCUUAACUCUGGAACUGCCAUCAAAACUUUUCAGCUAGAGUUUGAUAGAGGAAAGCAGAAUUUCUAGUGUAGAGGUGAAAUUCGUAGAUAUUAGAAAGGAUACCAAUUGCGAAGGCAGCUUUCUGGAUCAUUACUGACACUGAGGAACGAAAGCAUGGGUAGCGAAGAGGAUU
rnacentral:rRNA from 1 species